rnacentral:lncRNA from 1 species
GAGCAUCUAGUUCUUUACAAUUAAAUUACAAAAAGACAAAGAGUUGUUCAACAUUCAUUGUUUUAUAUAUAUAUAUUCGAGGAAGCACUGAGAAAUGAAAGGAGAAUAAUGAUCAUAAUUAGCAAUUUGAACCAAUAAAGUGUUGGCUCUACUAGCAAUAGAGUCCCUUUAAGUAUCUUGAUUGGGUUUGCUUCUCAGUUCGAGUUCACAGGAAAGUCGCCUUUGUUGGGAGAAUCUGUGCCUCCUGGUUCGAGCGGAGACUUCUAGUCUGGGUUGUGGUACGAGCUUAAAGGUGCCUCCCAUAGUUGGGACUCUCCCCAAAAUACCUC